GAUUUCUGACUUGGCGCACCUGGCCCGCCACGGUUACGUGCGUGAGUGCCGGGAUGCGCCUGUCACUUUUCUGGUAAACCAUUGUGCUCUUCACUGAGUAUGAUGGGUAGCCAGAUAUUUUACUUUGAAAAAAUUAGAGUGUUUAAAGCAGGCGUUUGCUAUGAAUACAUUAGCAUGGAAUAAUAACUUAGGACUUCGGUUCUAUUUUGUUGGUUUCUAGGACUGAAGUAAUGAUUGAUAGGGAUAGUUGGGGGUGCUAGUAUUCAGCGGCCAGAGGUGAAAUUCUCGGAUUCGCUGAAGACUAACUUAUGCGAAAGCAUU
rnacentral:rRNA from 1 species